GGAGCCUAAUCACUAGCCCACUGGAGCAAAACCAAUUAGACCCAUGGGGUGACCCUACCCAAAGGAUUAAUACAAACAGAGAUGGGUGAGGUAACGGAAAGAAAAGUUGAUGCUGUCACAGAUGGAGCAACAAGAAUAAGCUUAAGAGUUCUAACCCUUGAGAAGCAACAUAAAGUGCACAUAGCAACAAAGGAUGGUCGUAAUUUAAUACUAACUAGGGUCAGCUUAUAAACAAAGCUCAAGAUCUGUUAUAAUCCUUGAACAUUUGAUGAAACAUCUGAUAUUGUACUACAUUAUCCUUAAUAUAUUGUGUAUAUUUUGUUGAUGACUUGAUGUUGGUUUUCCAGUCAGAUUCCAUUUUCCACAAUGUCAAUUAGCAAACAGUUGUGCAUACUUCCCUGUAUGACCAUGGUCACAACAUCAUAAUGGGACACAUCCGCCACUUCUUUGGCUCAUGUAAAUGUUCAACUCUAGGUGAUGGUUCGUUGUACCAGUACCUUAUGAACAACACUAAUACAGUAUAGUACGGCCAGUAUGGCAUGGUAUAGCUCCUACAUCAUACAAGGUCAGGAAAUUCUCUUUUCAGACCCAGCCAUGGUAAUCAUCCACAACUGAGCAGUAUGGUUCGUACACGAAACAAGCAGAACCGGUCAGUUCCAUCAAUAUAGGCUGGUUUGACUCUUGUGCUAUAUCAAACCUUGGUACUGUAUCAGCACCUUACUAAUACGGUAUUGUAUGCUCGAUACAGGGCAAUAUGGGUCGGUACAAGGAACCAUGUCUUUAGUAGCUCUUCUAGAUGUCUUCACCAGAUUAUGAAUGGAAAUGCAGACCAAUUUCCCAUAUAAAUGGCCAAGUCUACUACAUGCAAGUUGAAUCUAUAGAAUAGACAUCACAAAGUGAGGAAAACUCGAUAACUAGUAAGAAGAAUUGCUCAAAAACUUUGAUUUCCAAAUUUACGGCAAAUAUGAAUUUUGCAACUCAAUAAAUCCUAUGGUUUCUUCUAUAAAGUUUCCAGGUCAUUGGUAAGAAGGGGCAUCACAAAUGAACAUUAUUUAGUAAUAGGCCUUCAAAUAGGGGCAUCACAAAUGAACAUUAUUUAGUAAUAGAUUAAUAAUCCUACUGAAUUAAGAGGAUCUUGGAGAUCAGUGAAUCAUGUUAUACUUUUUUCAAACAAGUACAUUGAGUGCACCCUGUAUCAAUCAUUGCAAUUUCAUAGUAUAUAAUUUUGGAGCUUAAGUGGGUCUCCAAUUUAUUCCACAAACAUUUUGUUAUUUGGGAAUCUAACCCUUGUUUAUCUAUUUUCACAUGAUCACGUAUAAGUGAAGAACAUCUAGAUAAUUUAUCUACAAAAACAUCUUUAUACUAGUUAACUAUUGGAGACAAUAUGUCCAGGUUAAAGUACCAAAAGUAAUUGGCACGUGUGAAAUAUUUUUGUAAUCCAUUUCAAAACAUUAUCCUAGCAACAAUUCACACACCUAUUUGUUGAGACAAUGAAACUAAUCUUGCAUAACCAUGCACUAACUUUCCAGAGAUGGAAGACACACAAUUUAAUGAUCAGAACCUCUUCUUGCACUUAUCAUAUUGAAUGCAACGAGUAGGUCUUGGAUGCGUAGGAAUCAUUAAAGGAGUUAAAGUAAGAAACAACCGAAAAACCCAGAAAGAAAAGAUAGCAGAGAGAGAGAGAGAGGUGCAAAGAUGGAGCUUAUCAAGCAUGCAUAUCCUUUAUCUACACCUAUUAGAGAUAGGAGAGAAACAACCCAUCCCAAAAUACAAGGAAAAGACAAAGGAAUUAGGAGAGAACACCGUCAUUCCUCCAACUCGAUCCUAAGUUCCGCCAUUCCUUUGCUUAAUACUAGCUAUCAAAAAAUAAAAGAUAAACAAAAUAAAAUAGGAGAAAGUUUAUUCUUCCUCUUAUCCUAGCCUCUCAUUAAUAAGGAAUUGACUUGAAGUUGUUUGGGUUAGAUCUGACCAAGCAUAACCCGACCAAGAAAAUAUAAAAUCUCAGUCUAACCUAAUGGGACAAUUAAUUUAAGUAACAAAUUAUAAAUUCAAUUCAAUCAAAUGGAUAGCAAAGAGACAACCCAUCCCAAAAUUUGAGCAACAGGAAAAAGAAUAAGGAGAAAAAAUUGUAAUUUCUUCAACUCGAACCUAAGUUUCUCCAUUCCUUUGCCUAAUACUAGCUAUCAAAAAUUU
rnacentral:lncRNA from 1 species